GAUGAAGAACGCAGCGAAAUGCGAUAAGUAAUGUGAAUUGCAGAAUUCAGUGAAUCAUCGAAUCUUUGAACGCACAUUGCGCCCGCCAGCAUUCUGGCGGGCAUGCCUGUUCGAGCGUCAUUUCAACCCUCGACUUCCCUUUGGGGAAAUCGGCGUUGGGGAGCGGCUGUAUACCGCCGGCCCCGAAAUGAAGUGGCGGCCCGUCCGCGGCGACCUCUGCGUAGUAAUCCAACUCGCACCGGAACCCCGACGUGGCCACGCCGUAAAACCCCCGACUUCUGAACGUUGACCUCGGAUCAGGUAGGAAUACCCGCUGAACUUAAGCAUAUCAAUAAGCGGAGGA
rnacentral:misc_RNA from 1 species